GAUGAACGCUGGCGGCGUGCUUAACACAUGCAAGUCGAACGGAAAGGCCCUGCUCUUGUGGCGUGCUCGAGUGGCGAACGGGUGAGUAUCACGUGAGUAACCUGCCCUUGACUGUGGGAUAACUCUAGGAAACUGGGGCUAAAACCGCAUAGGAUCUCCUGCUCCAUGUUGGGGGUUGGAAAGUGUCGGCGGUGGGGGCUGGACUCGCGGGUUACCAGCUUGUUGGUCGGGUAGGGGCUGACCAAGGUUUUGACGGGUAGCCGGCAUGAGAGGGGGACCGGCCACCAUGGGACUGCGGUACGGCCCAGAAGCCUACGGGGGGCAGCAGUGGGGAAUAUUGCACAAUGGGCGGAAGCCUGAUGCAGCAACGCCGCGUGCGGGAUGACGGCCUUCGGGUUGUAAACCGCUUUCGCAUGUGACGAAGCGUGAGUGACGGUAAUGGGUAAAGAAGCACCGGCUAACUACGUG
rnacentral:rRNA from 1 species